GAUGAACGCUGGCGGCGUGCCUAAUACAUGCAAGUCGAGCGAACAGACGAGGAGCUUGCUCCUUCGACGUUAGCGGCGGACGGGUGAGUAACACGUAGUUAACCUACCUAUAAGACUGGGAUAACUUCGGGAAACCGGAGCUAAUACCGGAUAAUAUUUCGAACCGCAUGGUUCGAUAGUGAAAGAUGGCUUUGCUAUCACUUAUAGAUGGACCUGCGCCGGAUUAGCUAGUUGGUAAGGUAACGGCUUACCAAGGCAACGAUACGUAGCCGACCUGAGAGGGUGAUCGGCCACACUGGAACUGAGACACGGUCCAGACUCCUACGGGAGGCAGCAGUAGGGAAUCUUACGCAAUGGGCGAAAGCCUGACGGAGCAACGCCGCGUGAGUGAUGAAGGUCUUCGGAUCGUAAAACUCUGUUAUUAGGGAAGAACAAACGUGUAAGUAACUGUGCACGUCUUGACGGUACCUAAUCAGAAAGCCACGGCUAACUACGUG
rnacentral:rRNA from 1 species